rnacentral:rRNA from 1 species
GGUUAAGCGACUAAGCGUACACGGUGGAUGCCCUGGCAGUCAGAGGCGAUGAAGGGCGUGCUAAUCUGCGAUAAGCGCCG